GGUUCAAACAAAGAAGGAAGAAGGUUUCCUUCCUCCAUCCAAUAUGCAUGACAUCGUGCCCCAGCCUUCUGCCCAUGCCGAUGUGACAUCAACUUCUCAUGUUAGUGAAACAGGUAACAAUCUUCAGUCUUCUGAGGAGACUACUGUUAACAACACCAGCAUGGAUCACACACCUUCUCUAGGUGACACGUUGGACCCUCAGAAUGCUUGUAUGCGGGUUCUUGCUUCAAGUCCCGCUGACUGCACCAGCUAUGCAGGAAAUACUCGCUCCAAGGUUUAUUUAAUUUGGGUAGCAACCACAUCCUUGCUCCUCCUAAGAUCGUCAGUGUGGUUGCUGCACUUGGUGGCUUUGAUGAUGAUGAUGUGGAUAUUGAACCAAUUUUAGAAAUCCUGCACAGUUAAAGUGACAAGGAGCUUAACAAGUUUCUGCUGAACAACC